GCUGUCGUCAGCUCGUGUUGUGAAAUGUUGGGUUAAGUCCCGCAACGAGCGCAACCCUUAUCCUUUGUUGCCAGCGGUCCGGCCGGGAACUCAAAGGAGACUGCCAGUGAUAAACUGGAGGAAGGUGGGGAUGACGUCAAGUCAUCAUGGCCCUUACGACCAGGGCUACACACGUGCUACAAUGGCGCAUACAAAGAGAAGCGACCUCGCGAGAGCAAGCGGACCUCAUAAAGUGCGUCGUAGUCCGGAUUGGAGUCUGCAACUCGACUCCAUGAAGUCGGAAUCGCUAGUAAUCGUGGAUCAGAAUGCCACGGUGAAUACGUUCCCGGGCCUUGUACACACCGCCCGUCACACCAUGGG
rnacentral:rRNA from 1 species